rnacentral:rRNA from 1 species
AUUGAACGCUGGCGGCAGGCCUAACACAUGCAAGUCGAGCGGAUGAAGGGAGCUUGCUCCUGGAUUCAGCGGCGGACGGGUGAGUAAUGCCUAGGAAUCUGCCUGGUAGUGGGGGAUAACGUCCGGAAACGGGCGCUAAUACCGCAUACGUCCUGAGGGAGAAAGUGGGGGAUCUUCGGACCUCACGCUAUCAGAUGAGCCUAGGUCGGAUUAGCUAGUUGGUGGGGUAAAGGCCUACCAAGGCGACGAUCCGUAACUGGUCUGAGAGGAUGAUCAGUCACACUGGAACUGAGACACGGUCCGGACUCCUACGGGAGGCAGCAGUGGGGAAUAUUGGAAAAUGGGCGAAAGCCUGAUCCAGCCAUGCCGCGUGUGUGAAGAAGGUCUUCGGAUUGUAAAGCACUUUAAGUUGGGAGGAAGGGCAGUAAGUUAAUACCUUGCUGUUUUGACGUUACCAACAGAAUAAGCACCGGCUAACUUCGUG